AACGAACGCUGGCGGCAGGCCUAACACAUGCAAGUCGAACGGGACCUUCGGGUCUAGUGGCGGACGGGUGAGUAACGCGUGGGAACGUGCCCUUUGGUUCGGAAUAGCCUCGGGAAACUGGGAGUAAUACCGGAUACGGUCGAGAGACGAAAGAUUUAUCGCCGAAGGAUCGGCCCGCGUUGGAUUAGGUAGUUGGUGGGGUAAAGGCCUACCAAGCCGACGAUCCAUAGCUGGUUUGAGAGGAUGAUCAGCCACACUGGGACUGAGACACGGCCCAGACUCCUACGGGAGGCAGCAGUGGGGAAUCUUAGACAAUGGGGGAAACCCUGAUCUAGCCAUGCCGCGUGAUCGAUGAAGGCCUUAGGGUUGUAAAGAUCUUUCAGUGGGGAAGAUAAUGACGGUACCCACAGAAGAAGCCCCGGCUAACUACGUGCCAGCAGCCGCGGUAAAGUGACUACUG
rnacentral:rRNA from 1 species